GUGCUCGCUUUGGCAGCACAUAUACUAAAAUUGGAACUAUACAGAGAAGAUUAGUCUGGCCCCUGCAUAAGGAUGACAUGCCAGGCAUAGUGGCUCAGGCCUAUAAU
rfam:Otolemur garnettii contig032309, whole genome shotgun sequence.